rnacentral:rRNA from 1 species
AUUGAACGCUGGCGGCAUGCUUUACACAUGCAAGUCGAACGGUAACAGGCCGCAAGGUGCUGACGAGUGGCGAACGGGUGAGUAAUGCAUCGGAACGUGCCCAGUCGUGGGGGAUAACUACUCGAAAGAGUAGCUAAUACCGCAUACGAUCUAUGGAUGAAAGCGGGGGACCGUAAGGCCUCGCGCGAUUGGAGCGGCCGAUGUCAGAUUAGGUAGUUGGUGGGGUAAAGGCUCACCAAGCCAACGAUCUGUAGCUGGUUUGAGAGGACGACCAGCCACACUGGGACUGAGACACGGCCCAGACUCCUACGGGAGGCAGCAGUGGGGAAUUUUGGACAAUGGGCGCAAGCCUGAUCCAGCAAUGCCGCGUGCAGGAAGAAGGCCUCGGUUGGUAAC